GAUGAACGCUGGCGGAAUGCUUUACCCAUGCAAGUCGAACGGCAGCACGGAGAGCUUGCUCUUUUGGUGGCGAGUGGCGAACGGGUGAGUAAUAUUUCGGAACGUGUCCAAUUAUGGGGGAUAACGAGUUGAAAGAUUCUCUAAUACCGCUUACGCCCUACGGGGGAAAGCAGGGGAUCGUAAGACCUUGCGUUAAUGGAGCGGCCGAUAUCUGAUUAGCUUGUUGGUGAGGUAAAGGCUCACCAAGGCGACGAUCAGUAGCUGGUUUGAGAGAACGACCAGCCACACUGGAACUGAGACACGGUCCAGACUCCUACGGGAGGCAGCAGUGGGGAAUUUUGGACAAUGGGGGCAACCCUGAUCCAGCCAUUCCGCGUGAGUGAAGAAGGCCUUCGGGUUGUAAAGCUCUUUCGCAAGGGAAGAAAACUUAUGAUCGAAUAAAUCAUGAGGUUGACGGUACCUUGAUAAGAAGCACCGGCUAACUACGUGCCAGCAGCCGCGGUAAUACGUAGGGUGCGAGCGUUAAUCGGAAUUACUGGGCGUAAAGCGUGCGCAGGCGGUUUUGUAAGUCGGAUGUGAAAUCCCCGGGCUCAACCUGGGAACUGCGUUCGAAACUGCAAGGCUAGAGUGUGUCAGAGGGGGGUAGAAUUCCACGUGUAGCAGUGAAAUGCGUAGAGAUGUGGAGGAAUACCAAUGGCGAAGGCAGCCCCCUGGGAUAACACUGACGCUCAUGCACGAAAGCGUGGGGAGCAAACAGGAUUAGAUACCCUGGUAGUCCACGCCCUAAACGAUGUCAACUAGUUGUUGGUAGAGUAAAAUCUAUGAGUAACGUAGCUAACGCGUGAAGUUGACCGCCCUGGGAGU
rnacentral:rRNA from 1 species